rnacentral:rRNA from 1 species
CCUACGGGAGGCAGCAGUGGGGAAUAUUGCACAAUGGGGGAAACCCUGAUGCAGCAACGCCGCGUGAAGGAUGACGGUUUUCGGAUUGUAAACUUCUUUUCUUAGUGACGAAGACAGUGACGGUAGCUAAGGAAUAAGCAUCGGCUAACUACGUGCCAGCAGCCGCGGUAAUACGUAGGAUGCAAGCGUUAUCCGGAUUUACUGGGUGUAAAGGGAGCGCAGGCGGGACUGCAAGUUGGAUGUGAAAUACCGUGGCUUAACCACGGAACUGCAUCCAAAACUGUAGUUCUUGAGUGAAGUAGAGGCAAGCGGAAUUCCGAGUGUAGCGGUGAAAUGCGUAGAUAUUCGGAGGAACACCAGUGGCGAAGGCGGCUUGCUGGGCUUUAACUGACGCUGAGGCUCGAAAGUGUGGGGAGCAAACAGGAUUAGAUACCCUGGUAGUCCACACUGUAAACGAUGAUAGCUAGGUGUGGGGGGUCUGACCCCUUCCGUGCCGGAGUUAACGCAAUAAGCUAUCCACCUGGGGAGUACGACCGCAAGGUUGAAACUCAAAGGAAUUGACGGGGGCCCGCACAAGCAGUGGAGUAUGUGGUUUAAUUCGACGCAACGCGAAGAACCUUACCAAGUCUUGACAUCCCUUGACGAUGCUGGAAACAGUAUUUCUCUUCGGAGCAAGGAGACAGGUGGUGCAUGGUUGUCGUCAGCUCGUGUCGUGAGAUGUUGGGUUAAGUCCCGCAACGAGCGCAACCCCUGCCAUUAGUUGCUACGCAAGAGCACUCUAAUGGGACCGCUACCGACAAGGUGGAGGAAGGUGGGGACGACGUCAAAUCAUCAUGCCCCUUAUGACCUGGGCUACACACGUAAUACAAUGGCCGUUAACAGAGGGAAGCAAAGCGGUGACGCAGAGCAAAACCCUAAAAACGGUCCCAGUUCGGACUGUAGGCUGCAACCCGCCUACACGAAGUUGGAAUUGCUAGUAAUCGCGGAUCAGCAUGCCGCGGUGAAUACGUUCCCGGGCCUUGUACACACCGCCCGUCACACCAUGAGAGUCGGGAACACCCGAAGUCCGUAGCCUAACCGCAAGGAGGGCGCGGCCGAAGGUGGGUUCGAUAAUUGGGGUGAAGUCGUAACAAGGUAGCCGUUCGAGAACGAGCGGCUG